UACGUAGGUGGCGAGCGUUGUCCGGAUUUACUGGGCGUAAAGGAUGCGUAGGUGGAUGUUUAAGUCAGAUGUGAAAUACCCGAGCUUAACUUGGGUGCUGCAUUUGAAACUGGAUAUCUAGAGUGCAGGAGAGGUAAGUGGAAUUCCUAGUGUAGCGGUGAAAUGCGUAGAGAUUAGGAAGAACACCAGUGGCGAAGGCGACUUACUGGACUGUAACUGACACUGAGGCAUGAAAGCGUGGGUAGCAAAC
rnacentral:rRNA from 1 species